CGCCUAGACGCAUGUAUAAUUAAUCACAUUUAUUUUUAAUGUUUCCAGCCUUUCCACUGAGUAAACCUGACAACGUAUGUAACAGCUGCGAGAGUGACUGACAGCCAACCAUGACCAUCCUGGGCAUUGUGUUCCAAAAGAAGUUCCGCCCCCAUCACAGCUCCCUGUGUCAAUCAACACACUGCCCUCAUCAACUAAAGGCAAAGGUUCGAAAAAAAGCGGGCAAGUUUCUAACCCCGGGGAGCCUCAUACAGGAUUCUACAGGAAUCCACUCCAUGUGAGAAGCAUCUAAACCAAUUCUGAGUUUCCCAGUUUUCACGGGGAAGCACGUGAUUCCAGGAGCACACCCCCCACCCCCCAUAGCCUAUUGUUGGCUCCCCCUCUUCCUUUUGAGGCUAGGAUUAUACAAGGUCAGCACCCUC